ensembl:lncRNA
UGGAGACGCUCCCCGCGGGCCUCGAGUCCUGCCUCCCGCACUGCGGUCCUGGGGAACCUGGAAAAGGCGCUUUCCCUCCUACGGAUGUCUUUCUUUUGUACACAGUUGGCGUUCUGUUUUGCUCGGAGCAUUUUUGGUAGCACCCCGAGGUUGGGUAACACCCAGGGCUUGGCCAACCCCAUCGUGCUCUUUUCUCCGCUUGUAACAUGUGUGACCACAAAGCCACCGCAGGCAUCACGUGGGUCGCUCAGCGGCUCGGACGCAGACACGCCUCUGGCUUCCCCUGGAGGGCGGGGCUUCGCCUUUACCCUUUCCUGCCGGUCACUGGCCGUCAGGACGAAAGGACUGGAGGAAAGAAGGAACUGCCCACUUCCUUUAAGAAGCUGUGAAGCAAAUGGCUCUUCCACCUUUAAAGUUUUCAGAAGGACUUUAUGCCCACUGUGGAUUGCCUGAAAAAUCCCAUGGACGGGGAAGCCUGGUGGGCUGCAGUCCGUGGGGUCGCUAAGAGUGGGACACGACUGAGAGACUUCACUUUCACUUUUCACUUUCAUUCAUUGGAGGAGGAAAUGGCAGCCCACUCCAGUGUUCUUGCCUGGAGAGUCCCAGGGACAGCGGGGCCUGGUGGGCUGCCGUCUAUGGGGUCGCACAGAGUCGGACACGACUGAAGCGACUUAACAGCAGCAGCAGCAGUGGAAAAACCAAAUACCACAAUACAGUUACAUCUCACGAUUUGUUAAUAUUUUGUUAAGUUUUUCCCUAAACAUCUGCUGCUAAGUCACUUCAGUCGUGUCCAAAACAUCUGCAGCCUUGGAAUAAUGUGAGUUUGGAUGGAGGGUGACGAGGAAUGGGCUGGUAUCCACUUUCCAGGCACCACCUUCGCGUUAGGACUCGGGGACCACAUGGACCCUACAGCUGACGCAGUUUGGAACUCUGGCCCCUACUCACAACAGGAAGGUGGGUCUUAUUGUAUUAAUAGAGGCGAACUAAACCUUCAUGCAAUUUUGUAUGCCAGUCGUUUUUUAAAAGAAUAUCAAAGGUAUUCCCUGAUGUUAACUGUUUUUUUCCCAUUUUUCAUUUGUCAUACAGGUUCAAAUGAGAUGAUAAAUUGUGGGAAGUUAGGAGGUUACUAAUCUGUCAUAAUACGGUUUAAAUGAGGUCUGUUUCCUACAUCCGUGCAGUGGUCUGUAACACAGGUUCCGUCCAGAAGCCACGGGAGAGGAAGGGGCAGGCAACGGGCAGAGUCCAAGCAGCCGUGUGCAUCCAGCAGGUUUUAAGAUGCUGAGUCGAGGAGUCUUAGCUUCUGGAGGCGACUAUGGAGAGCCUCUGGUUUCCAGUCCCUGCAGGGGCCAAAAGCAUCAUUUCUCAAUUACUGUACAUUGUUAUCCUGCAAACAAGCUGGAAUCAAGAUUGCCAGGAGAAAUAUCAAUAACCUCAGAUACGCAGAUGGCAACACCCUAAACAGCAGAAAGUGAAGAGGAGCUAGAGAG